rnacentral:rRNA from 1 species
CAAGGAAUUUUCCACAAUGGGCGCAAGCCUGAUGGAGCAACGCCGCGUGCGGGAUGACGCCCUUCGGGGUGUAAACCGCUUUUCGAGGGGACGAAGGCAAUGACGGUACCCUCGGAAGAAGGAUCGGCUAACUACGUGCCAGCAGCCGCGGUAAGACGUAGGAUCCGAGCGUUGUCCGGAGUUACUGGGCGUAAAGCGCGCGCAGGCGGACCGAUACAUCGGCGGUGAAAGCCCCCCGCUCAACGGGAGAGGGUCCGUCGAGAUGGUCGGUCUGGAGGCAGGGAGAGGCCAGUGGAAUUCCGGGUGUAGUAGUGAAAUGCGUAGAGAUCCGGAGGAACACCAGUGGCGAAGGCGGCUGGCUGGACCUGACCUGACGCUGAGGCGCGAAGGCGUGGGGAGCGAACGGG